UCCUGCCGGAGGUCACUGCUAUCGGGGUUCGACUAAGCCAUACGAGUCGAAAGAGGGUUCGGCCCUCGGCGUACUGCCCAGUAACACGUGGAUAACCUGCCCUAAGGAAGGGAAUACCCCCGGGAAACUGGGGAUAAUGCCCUAUAGGUUACCGAUGCUGGAAUGCUCGGUAACCGAAAGUUCCGGCGCCUUAGGAUGGAUCUGCGGCCGAUUAGGUUGUUGUCGGGGUAACGGCCCAACAAGCCGAUAAUCGGUACGGGUUGUGGGAGCAAGAGCCCGGAGUUGGAUUCUGAGACACGAAUCCAGGCCCUACGGGGCGCAGCAGGCGCGAAAACUUUACAAUGCGGGCAACGCGUGAUAAGGGAACCUCGAGUGCCUGUAUAUGCAGGCUGUCCAGGUGUCUAAAACACACCUGAAGAAAGGGCCGGGCAAGACCGGUGCCAGCCGCCGCGGUAAUACCGGCUGCUCGAGUGAUAGCCGCUUUUACUGGGCUUAAAGCGUUCGUAGCUUGGUCGUUAAGUCUCUGGGGAAAUCCUUUUGGCUCAACCAAAAGGCGUCUCAGGGAAACUGGCGAUCUUGGAACC
rnacentral:rRNA from 1 species